rnacentral:snoRNA from 1 species
AUCCCAUGGUGUGGACACUUACGUAGCAUAUUCUUGAACUGGUUCCAAGCUUCAUCGAAAUUCUCUGAGUCGCCUUGGUGGAAGACAGAAAUGUCGUGCUUGAGCUU